rnacentral:rRNA from 1 species
AAGCGGUGGAGCAUGUGGUUUAAUUCGACGCAACGCGAAGAACCUUACCAGGGCUUGACAUCCCCUGACCGCGUAUGAAAGUACGUUUUCACCUUCGGGAGACAGGGAGACAGGUGGUGCAUGGUUGUCGUCAGCUCGUGUCGUGAGAUGUUGGGUUAAGUCCCGCAACGAGCGCAACCCCUACGUUUAGUUGCUAACGCGUGAAGGCGAGCACUCUAGACGAACUGCCGUUGACAAAACGGAGGAAGGUGGGGAUGACGUCAAAUCAUCAUGCCCCUUAUGUUCUGGGCUACACACGUGCUACAAUGGCCGGUACAACGGGUUGCAACACCGCGAGGUGAAGCCAAUCCCUAAAAACCGACCUCAGUUCAGAUUGCAGACUGCAAUUCGUCUACAUGAAGAUGGAGUUGCUAGUAACCGCGGGUCAGCUACACCGCGGUGAAUAUGUUCCCGGGCCUU